rnacentral:rRNA from 1 species
UACGUAGGGUGCAAGCGUUGUCCGGAAUUAUUGGGCGUAAAGGGCUCGUAGGCGGUCUGUCGCGUCGGGAGUGAAAACUCAGGGCUUAACCCUGAGCCUGCUUCCGAUACGGGCAGACUAGAGGUAUGCAGGGGAGAACGGAAUUCCUGGUGUAGCGGUGAAAUGCGCAGAUAUCAGGAAGAACACCCGUGGCGAAGGCGGUUCUCUGGGACGGUACUGACGCUGAGACGCGAAAGCGUGGGGAGCGAACAGG